rnacentral:rRNA from 1 species
GACGAACGCUGGCGGCGUGCUUAACACAUGCAAGUCGAACGAAGAGCGAUGGAAGCUUGCUUCUAUCAAUCUUAGUGGCGAACGGGUGGGUAACGCGUAAUCAACCUGCCCUUCAGAGGGGGACAACAGUUGGAAACGACUGCUAAUACCGCAUACGAUCUAACCUCGGCAUCGAGGAAAGAUGAAAGGUGGCCUCUAUGUAUAAGCUAUCACUGAAGGAGGGGAUUGCGUCUGAUUAGCUAGUUGGAGGGGUAACGGCCCACCAAGGCGAUGAUCAGUAGCCGGUCUGAGAGGAUGAACGGCCACAUUGGGACUGAGACACGGCCCAGACUCCUACGGGAGGCAGCAGUGGGGAAUCUUCCGCAAUGGACGAAAGUCUGACGGAGCAACGCCGCGUGAGUGAUGACGGCCUUCGGGUUGUAAAGCUCUGUUAAUCGGGACGAAAGGCCUUCUUGCGAAUAGUGAGAAGGAUUGACGGUACCGGAAUAGAAAGCCACGGCUAACUACGUG